rnacentral:rRNA from 1 species
AUUGAACGCUGGCGGCAUGCCUUACACAUGCAAGUCGAACGGCAGCACGGGAGCUUGCUCCUGGUGGCGAGUGGCGAAUGGGUGAGUAAUACAUCGGAACGUACCCUGAAGUGGGGGAUAACGUAGCGAAAGUUACGCUAAUACCGCAUAUUCUGUGAGCAGGAAAGAGGGGGAUCGCAAGACCUCUUGCUUUAGGAGCGGCCGAUGUCGGAUUAGCUAGUUGGUGAGGUAAAGGCUCACCAAGGCGACGAUCCGUAGCGGGUCUGAGAGGAUGAUCCGCCACACUGGGACUGAGACACGGCCCAGACUCCUACGGGAGGCAGCAGUGGGGAAUUUUGGACAAUGGGCGCAAGCCUGAUCCAGCCAUGCCGCGUGAGUGAAGAAGGCC